rnacentral:siRNA from 1 species
UCAAUCUGAUGCUCAAUUCCACG